GAAUACGCUUCCAUAACCUCACGCUGCCAGUUUUAUUUACAUUUUGUUGAUUUGUGGUAAACAUAUAACCGCGGCUCAAGAUGGAGUCCAUGAACUGGAUCCAGAAGUUCUUAAAAACCCAUUGUAAAGAGGUUUUCAUAACUGCCACAGUGGGGAUAAUAUUAGUCACGGUAAUCAGAAGGAGAAAGAAGAAAGUAAAGAAGACUUAUCCCCCGAACACUGUCAUUCAUCACAAUGUCGGCCGAGGACCGUAUGCACCAAGCCUUACCCCGUUUGCCGUGAAGCUGGAGACCUAUUUACGGAUGACAAAAGUUCCAUUUAUGGUAUUCUGUUUGUUAACCAUCCAUAAUUUUCCAGUAUACUUGUUAUUCAUCACAUACACAUGAUGGGAACACAUGAUUGUACCUACUGUAUAAUACGAUAAUAUUUUCUUUACUGCUCUAGCUAGCUACUUUUUUGCAAUAACUCCUUCACACAAAUAGGAUACGCAGCUUUUUGAUGAAAUAUUAGUCAUUCUUUCUUGAAGAAUGGCAUCAAGGAACGUACCAAUUUAAGUCAAGCCAUGAACAUUUCAAUUUUCGAUUUUAACUCAAUGAUGUUUCCAAAUCUAUGACAUAAUAACAAUUAAAAUAAAAAAUCAAAAUAUUGUUUUAAGACUGAGAAUGAUAGUGCCAGGAACAAAAGUUCAAAAGGGAAAAUGACUUGGAUAGAAUACAAUGGACAAGAAGUAGCAGACUCAGAAUUCUGUAUCCAGUUUAUAAACAAAACAUUCAACAUUGACAUGGACAAGAACUUCUCUGAUGAAGAAAUUGGGGCAGGAAGAGCCAUCCAAAGGAUGGUUGAUGAACAUUUGUAUUGGACAGUUGCUUUACGACGCUGGGUUUUUGACCCCGAGCAUGGGAUUGAUGUCAAAAAACACAUGAAGGUUCCAUGGAUUUUUUUCCGUAUAGUCGGAAACAUGGUAAAGAAACAGAGUUACGCACAGGGGGUAGGCAGACACACCGAUGAAGAGGUGAUGCAAGUGAUGGAUGAAGAUCUACAGGCCUUGUCGAAGUUCCUGGGCAAGAAGAAGUUCAUGCUGGGCGAACAAGCCAGUCAGACCGAUUGUGCAGUGUUUGGAAUGUUAUCUCAGAUUCACUGGCACAGCUUUGGAGGUGCAGGAGAGAAGUUGUACAAAAAAUAUCCCAAUUUGAGUGCAUUCUGUGAACGGAUGAAGGCGGAGUUCUGGCCAGACUGGGACGAUUGUAUUACCCACGGUGGGACGAGGAAAGCUGCCAAAUGAAUGCAUAAUAAUAAUAUCAAUUCAUUAGGCAUUUCAUAAUAAGUGUCUCUAUAAUGCAGCUUAAAUCAACAACAUUUUGUAUAUUUUUAUAUGGAAUAUGGUAAUUUAUAUUUGCAUUUUGAUAUUUUAAUAAAAUCCAGUUCAUUUUG
rnacentral:misc_RNA from 1 species